rnacentral:rRNA from 1 species
CGAAACCAGGUGAUCUACCCAUGUCCAGGAUGAAGGUAAGGUAAUACUUACUGGAGGUCCGAACCCACGCACGUUGAAAAGUGCGGGGAUGAGGUGUGGGUAGCGGAGAAAUUCCAAUCGAACUUGGAGAUAGCUGGUUCUCUCCGAAAUAGCUUUAGGGCUAGCCUCGAGGUAAAGAGUCAUGGAGGUAGAGCACUGUUUGGACUAGGGGCCCUUCUCGGGUUACCGAAUUCAGAUAAACUCCGAAUGCCAUGUACUUAUACUCGGGAGUCAGACUGCGAGUGAUAAGAUCCGUAGUCGAAAGGGAAACAGCCCAGACCACCAGUUAAGGUCCCCAAAUAUAUGUUAAGUGGAAAAGGAUGUGGGGUUGCUUAGACAACCAGGAUGUUGGCUUAGAAGCAGCCACCAUUGAAAGAGUGCGUAAUAGCUCACUGGUCGAGUGACCCCGCGCCGAAAAUGUACCGGGGCUAAACAUA